rnacentral:rRNA from 1 species
GAUCCUGGCUUAGGAUGAACGCUAGCUACAGGCUUAACACAUGCAAGUCGAGGGGCAGCAGGACGAUAGCUUGCUAUGUUGCUGGCGACCGGCGCACGGGUGAGUAACGCGUAUCCAACCUUCCCCUUAGUAGGGCAUAGCCCGGUGAAAAUCGGAUUAAUACCCUAUGUUGUGUCAUGAGGACAUCUGAAUAACACUAAAGAUUUAUCGCUAAGGGAUGGGGAUGCGUCCGAUUAGGUAGUCGGCGGGGUAACGGCCCACCGAGCCCUCGAUCGGUAGGGGUUCUGAGAGGAAGGUCCCCCACACUGGUACUGAGACACGGACCAGACUCCUACGGGAGGCAGCAGUGAGGAAUAUUGGUCAAUGGGCGUAAGCCUGAACCAGCCAAGUAAGCGUGCAGGAUGACGGCCCUAUGGGUUGUAAACUGCUUUUAUACGGGGAUAAAGUGAGGGACGUGUCCCUUAUUGUAGGUACCGUAUGAAUAAGGACCGGCUAAUUCCGUGCCAGCCGCAGC